GCCCUUUUCCGGUUGAUCCUGCCGGAGGCCAUUGCUAUUGGGAUCCGAUUUAGCCAUGCUAGUUGCACGAGUUCAGACUCGUAGCGAAUAGCUCAGUAACACGUGGCCAAACUACCCUUCGGAGCACCAUACCCUCGGGAAACUGAGGCUAAUAGUGCAUCCCGCACUCACCCUGGAAUGGCGAGUGCGUCAAACGCUCCGGCGCCGAAGGAUGUGGCUGCGGCCGAUUAGGUAGACGGUGGGGUAACGGCCCACCGUGCCGAUAAUCGGUACGGGUCAUGAGAGUGAGAACCCGGAGACGGAAUCUGAGACAAGAUUCCGGGCCCUACGGGGCGCAGCAGGCGCGAAACCUUUACACUGCACGACAGUGCGAUAAGGGGAUCCCAAGUGCACAGGCAUAGAGCCUGUGCUUUUGUACACCGUAGGGAAGUGUACGAAUAAGGGCUGGGCAAGACCGGUGCCAGCCGCCGCGGUAAUACCGGCAGCCCAAGUGAUGGCCGAUCUUAUUGGGCCUAAAGCGUCCGUAGCUGGCCGCACAAGUCCAUCGGGAAAUCCACCCGCCCAACGGGUGGCCGUCCGGUGGAAACUGUGUGGCUUGGGACCGGAAGGCGCGACGGGUACGUCCGGGGUAGGAGUGAAAUCCCGUAAUCCUGGACGGACCGCCGAUGGCGAAAGCACGUCGCGAAAACGGAUCCGACAGUGAGGGACGAAAGCUAGGGUCUCGAACCGGAUUAGAUACCCGGGUAGUCCUAGCCGUAAACAAUGCCUGCUAGGUGUGGCUCCCACUACGAGUGGGUGCUGUGCCGUA
rnacentral:rRNA from 1 species